rnacentral:rRNA from 1 species
CGCCGCGGUAACACCGGCGGCCCGAGUGGUAACCGCUAUUAUUGGGUCUAAAGGGUCUGUAGCCGGCCAGGUAAGUCCCUUGGGAAAUCUGGCAGCUCAACUGUCAGGCUGCUAGGGGAUACUGUUUGGCUUGGGACCGGGAGAGGUGAGAGGUACCUUGGGGGUAGGGGUGAAAUCUUGUGAUCCUCGAGGGACCACCAGUGGCGAAGGCGUCUCACCAGAACGGGUCCGACGGUAAGGGACGAAAGCUAGGGGCACGAACCGGAUUAGAUACCCGGGUAGUCCUAGCCGUAAACGAUGCUCGCUAGGUGUCAGUCACGGUGCGACUGUGAUUGGUGCCGUAGGGAAGCCGUGAAGCGAGCAACCU